GGGGGUAUAGCUCAGUUGGUUAGAGCGUCACGUUGACAUCGUGAAGGUCGUUGAUUCGAAUUCAACUAUUCCCA
rnacentral:tRNA from 1 species